UUCUUCAAAGACCAGUUGGCUGGUUUUGUUAGAAACAAGUUAUAAGGUUGUGUGAGAAUUUCAGCUGUGGUAAAAUCUAGACUGGAGCUAUCCUCAGUACAAUACAUCACAAUCCCUAAGUUAUUUGCAUCUCAGGCUGACCAUGAAUUGUGUGAUGAGCUAACCUACUCGAAUGGGUUAGAGGCAGGGUGGGAGGACACGGGGCUUUCAAGUUGAGUGCUCAGUGAUGCUGCUGCCACGCUGACUGUUCUCUCCUCCCCUCUGCAGGUGAGAAGCCUUACAAGUGCUCGUGGGAAGGGUGCGAGUGGCGUUUUGCACGGAGCGACGAGCUCACGAGGCAUUACAGAAAGCACACGGGUGCAAAGCCCUUUAAAUGCAACCAUUGUGACAGGUGUUUUUCCAGGUCGGAUCACCUUGCCCUCCACAUGAAGAGACACAUCUAAAUAUCAGUCAGCUUGGCGUGGAUGUCAUCUGGGCUAAGUGUUGUGAGAUGAAAGUGGAACUCAAGUUACAACGUGCUACCUUACAGGAGAAGAGAACUUGAUCCCGUAUAAUCCUCUGUACAGGGACCACAUGCUCACAGUGUCAUGCACCCAGUUACACUUCAAUACCUACAUCAGUUCUUUUAUGCCUUGCCCCAGCUGGAUGGGAGAAGAUGCAGGCGAGGAGAUGCUAUAGAGGUGAAGUCAGUGGAAAAGAACAAUUACUUGCAGUACUUCAUCCCUCUUGGAUUUGUUUCCUGUUUUUGCCAAUGGAAAUCAAAGAAAACAGAGGAGGCUUCCCUGCAGUGGACGGCAGUAGGAGGGGCUUAUCUAACUUGCUUCUCAGUGCAACUCAGUAGAAGAAUAUGUCGUCUUGAAGUUGCAUAUUUGUAGCACUAACUUUCUUUUUAAAUAGAUGGGGGAAAAACAAUGACCUAGAAAACCAAAUCCCAGUUUGGUAGCCAAAAUUAACCUCUUGGUUUUUUUGUUCUUUCUCUGAGAAUUCCUAAUGUUCAGUGCAUCAGACUUCUCACAGACACUUUGACCUGUCUUGGUUUUGGUUCUUCUUCCUAGAACUGAACUAUUAAGAUCCUUUUAAGUCAAUACCAGUGGCCUUAAUGGCAGUAGACUGUGGAGUGACACUUGUGACACAAACAUCCUCUUUUUGGCCUGAGUUUA